rnacentral:rRNA from 1 species
GAUGAACGCUAGCGGCAGGCCUAACACAUGCAAGUCGAGGGGCAGCACAGAAACAGCAAUGUUUUGGUGGCGACCGGCGGACGGGUGCGUAACGCGUAUGCAACCUACCUUUAACAGGGGGAUAACGGAGAGAAAUUUCCACUAAUACCCCAUAACAUCGAUCAAGGCAUCUUGAUUGGUUGCAAACUCCGGUGGUUAAAGAUGGGCAUGCGUUGUAUUAGGUAGUUGGUGAGGUAAUGGCUCACCAAGCCUACGAUACAUAGGGGGACUGAGAGGUUAGCCACCCACACUGGUACUGAGACACGGACCAGACUCCUACGGGAGGCAGCAGUGAGGAAUAUUGGUCAAUGGGGGCAACCCUGAACCAGCCAUGCCGCGCGCAGGAAGACGGCUCUAUGAGUUGUAAACUGCUUUUAAACAGGGAUAAAGCACAGUAUGUAUACUGUGUUGAAGGUACUGUAAGAAUAAGGAUCGGCUAACUCCGUGCCAGCCGCCGCAGUAA